UAGGGAAUCUUCGGCAAUGGACGAAAGUCUGACCGAGCAACGCCGCGUGAGUGAAGAAGGUUUUCGGAUCGUAAAACUCUGUUGUUAGAGAAGAACAAGGACGUUAGUAACUGAACGUCCCCUGACGGUAUCUAACCAGAAAGCCACGGCUAACUACGUGCCAGCAGCCGCGGUAAUACGAAGGUGGCAAGCGUUUUCCGGAUUAAUUGGGCGUAAAGCGAGCGCAGGCGGUUUCUUAAGUCUGAUGUGAAAGCCCCCGGCUCAACCGGGGAGGGUCAUUGGAAACUGGGAGACUUGAGUGCAGAAGAGGAGAGUGGAAUUCCAUGUGUAGCGGUGAAAUGCGUAGAUAUAUGGAGGAACACCAGUGGCGAAGGCGGCUCUCUGGUCUGUAACUGACGCUGAGGCUCGAAAGCGUGGGGAGCAAACAGG
rnacentral:rRNA from 1 species